ACCAGUGAUGAUCCAUCUCCUGUGGCUGGGCACCUUGCCCCUCAAAGGAAAUAUCUGUUGUUAAAGUGCAACACUGCUUAAAAGACGGCAUGGAAAUUGCCCAUGGCGACCCUAAAAACAAAAUAAACACAACUGUGGUUCUAUGCAACUCAACAGGCACCGGAAAAGAGAGAUAUACAGUGGUAGCUUCAUAUAUGGAAUUAGAUGGGACAGUGGAGCAAGGAGGAAGCCUGGCAGAAAACUUCUAAAGUUAAGAAUGACCCAGAACUCAAGUUCAUCAACAACAAACUUAUGUAUGUGUACCUUCCAUGACGGCAAGGUGCUAGGUAGUGAAGAAUGUGGAGUUGGGCCAUGCUCCAUCCUCCAAGCGGGGAAAGUCAUACAGCUUUGACUGUCUGGAAAGUGUGCUGGGUUGUUUACUAGUAACCUUUGAAAUACCUUUCUGUGUCAAGGAAAACUGACCCACAAAACGUGUAAGUGACUGUUCCCUACAAGUAAGUCAGCAAUGGAUUGGAGAUUAGAACUCCUUGUUCUCAGCUCUGUGUUUAGUGCACAUAAAUAACACAGCCAUCCCUACUCAGUUUUGGCUCCGAAUUGCCUUGUGUACUUGCGCUGGCAUUUUGAUGACUGCCAUCAGGUACAAACGUAUGUAGUAGAUCAUGCCAUGGUUGUGUCUUCGAAGAAAUUGAUAUCAUAGAAGGGCUCUAGCAGUGACACCAAAGAAGUAUCCACGUGUGACCUUGCUUCCUCGUGACUACUAUUAAUUUUCCAUACAGUCCUGUCCUUAAUGUUUCUUCCUGAAAUUGGGUCAAACAGCCAUACCAAGACCAAAGGCACUAUCUGGGGGGACUGCUUCCCGCUCAUCUCUGACUUGCCUCCUGACCCCCACCUUAUCAUCGGCCAACCCAAUACGGAGAAGAGCCUUCACUCCAACAAUGCUUUCCUUGUCUCUUUACCGAGGCAUGAUAUUUGGUAGCAGAAGAAGGCUUUCCAACAUUAAAAGUAAAAUAA